UGAAAUCAGUGGGAAUCAUUUUAUUCAUAAAACUAUAUGUAUUGUCGCAAUUUGAUAAAAGCGUUAUUCAUUUAUUUGAUUUUAAUUAAUAUUUAUUAUUUAUAUCUGAAAUCUCAUUCGGAAUUGUACAAAUUGUAAUAAUCAACUUACAUGCUCCGGUCGGAUCAGACGUAUUAUUUCGCAGUUAAUUUAAAAGAAUUUUAAUUGAAUCGGCAACCUAGAAACACACGCCGUAGACGGGAAUUCGAUAAAAUUUGUUGCAACGACACACUGUGUGCUAGCGAACAAUACAAUCUCACAGAUUCUUCGUAGCCCCUUUUCUUUGGUCUCGAAUUGAUACUGAAGAAAAAAUUCGUACCUAUGGAAUUGUCCCGUAACUAUUUCCAAAAAGUACCAAUGGUACAAAUGUAUUUAUUGUAUUUCAUAUUUAUUGUUAAGGACUAGAAUACUCUUGGAACGGUGAAAACAUGUAGUUUAUAGAGUAGAUCCUAAAACGUUCAAGACCAUAUCGAAUCGAAUCGAAUUCUUUUCAAUCUUAUUUAACGUUAAAGGAGUUUAGGGUAACCUUCGAACUUGAAAUAUAUCGCGCGCGGUAGACAAUUUCUCUCGUUAAAGACACACACGUUAGACGCGGUCAAGUAAAUUUGAUUCGACACGAUCUUGAACCGUUCAAGUACAUUGCGAUGUAUUCCGAUAAGUAUCUCGUGCGUCCAUCCGGUAAAUUAUCUCAGCUAUGUUGCACCCUCUGUGGACCAUUUUUGUAGUAUAAUAAACAUAAACUGUGUAAUUAUCUAUGGUAGGUUUAAAAACAUUCAUAAACAUAACCAUUGUCUUCCUAAAAUAUUGAAAAUGCAUCGAAAGAACUUGUUACAAAGGAGGUGUCUCCGGAUUGGGAAAACAUAAUAUUAGAAUGUUCGUAUUCGAAAUUGUCAGAUAAUUAUGUCACGGUUAAAUGUAAAUUUUGUGCAUUUGGUUGAUAGGUGCAAAAAAUGGAUCCGGUGUUGUAAAAAUGGUAUUAUUAUAUAAAGAAAUGUAUUAUUGUAUAACGGAUGAAACGUAAAAAUUGAUCAUACGAUGAUAUUUUAGAUUGUGGUAAUUUGAGACUUGAAUCGCUAUAUAUUUUUUUAUCUCUGAUUCUAAGUAUUAUUAGGUUCAGAUUACGAGUUCAGCCGACUGCUGUGCAACAAAUUUGGCUAAUGCAAUGGUUCGAAUGUCUUAAAGAUAAGUAUUACAGUUAAGGGAACGCAUAGCUCUCGAUAAAUAAGUAACAAAUAAUGUAGACGAUAUAACUUACGUAUGUCGGCCAUGAUGACAUAAACCACUUAUAUAGGAGAUUAUAUAUAUAUAUAUAUAUAUAUAUUAUUUGUAAUUUUAUUCUUUUAUAUAUUAAAUAUUAUGAAGGAAAAGGGGUUACGACGUUCAGUUAAGAAAGUUAAAAGCGGCAGAUAAAAGUUGAAUAAAUUUUUGUAAUUCCUUUUUAUUCAAAUAUUAACACCGUUUACCCGUUAAUCGUAUCGUGUCGAGGAAUAAUUGUAUCGAUCUUUCGAAUCUUUUCGUUUCCAACGACUCGACGAACAUCUUCAGGAGUGUUAGUUUCAUCUCAACAUCUUUCUGUACACAUAAUUCCGAAAGCUUUUAGCCGUUACAAAUAUUCGAGAUGAACACACAUUUUUACCUUUCAUGUUCGGUUAUUCUUGUAAAUUUUGCCGUUGCAUUUAAUUCUGAUUGUUUCAACAUACUUCGACGAAGGUACUAAUCUCUAUUAUACAUCUAUGUUUAGUUGUAUUAUUUUCUUUUAUACUACAUGACAACUGACGAGGUACUCGAUUUAACCGUCCAUGAGAAGUAUCAGAAUUUCAUGAACUGAAAUGCUCGACGUUGAGACACGGUAAAUAUAGUGAUUAUAAUUUGUAAAUAAAGGAACAUCUUUCCAAUUAAAUGUUAGUUUUGCGUUUCUGUUUCAUUUAUAUCGACAAACACUACCGAUGUACAUACGUACAUGCAUUCAUACAUACAUACGUACGUACGUACAUGCAUUAAGCGGUCAUAUUUUUUUUAUACCGAAAAAGAGCCGAAGCAGACGUAUCUUGCGUCGCCUGUAAACAUCUGAAAAUACAACGUGGGACAGUGACACGAUAGUUUGCAUAGUUUAUUCGAGUUUAGAAGCUUUUUUUCGAGUAGACAGUGAAACUGGAAAAUGAUACGUGUUUUCACUUGAACGACCGUGCGAGUGUGUUGUGCUUUGAUUUGAAAUUAUACUCGAUCGAUUCCAUAGAUAUUAUUUUCUAUAGAAGAAACAAACACAUUUCUAAUGUUUACGGUAUAAUUCCAAUUGACUCGACGCCCUGUUACGAUACACACACACACACACACACACACACACGCGCACACGUAUUCGGGAAUAUUUCAAUAAAUUUCGAGUCGAUGAGAUUUUGAAUGCCUACGAAUUGUAAUCUUCAAGAUCUGUAUACAUAUGUAUGUAUAUGAGUAUACGUUUGUACGUUGUAUACCUCUGAGUGUGUAUGCGAGCAUGUAGGUACCUGCGUUCACGUAACGCACGUACACAAGUAUAAAUAAAUGUGUAUAUGUUUUCAAUCUAACGGAAUCGGGAUAUAAUAUAUGUAAGAUAUAUUUAUUAAUUUACCUAAUAUAUAAUACAUAUAUUAUCGAUACUGUGCGUACAGGACGUUUCGUAACUGGCGGAUCAAACGCGAGAAAUAGGGGAUUUCCUUUCGAAUACUAUGUUUUCUAUAGAACACAGAGUACGUUGUAGACGAGUACACAUCUCGAGACGCAACAAAGUUUCGAAAAGUAUCGAAUUUACAAAUGGGGGAUCGAUUACGAUGAACAACGUUGACUGAUCGACGAUGUGACAACGUAGAAACACUCGACGUGCGCGAGUGUACUCGUGUACCGAUUAUUAUUGUCGCGAAGCUAACAGAUCCAGCCGUAUCGAGGAAACGUUCUGGAAAGAUGGAAGAGAACUGGGAAUUAGAAACACUUUCUAUGCACGAUGGACGGGCCCGAUUCGUCGUACUCUUGCUUCGAGAUCCACAUUUGCUGGAAGGUGCUCAAACUGGCCAAGAUCGAGCCACCGAUCCAGACCGAAUACUUCCUUUCCGGGGGCGCGAUUAUCUUAAUCUUCAUCGUGGACGGCGCCAAUGCCGUUAUUUCCUUUUGCAUCCUGUCCGCUAUACCUGGAUACAUAGUGGUGCCGCCUGACAGCACCGAGUUCGCGUACAGAUCUUUACGUAUAUCGACGUCGCAUUUCAUGAUCGAAUUGUACGUUGUCUCGUGUAUUCCACAGGACUCCAUGCCCAAGAAGCUCGGCUGGAACAUCGCUUCUGGACACCGGAAACGUUCGUUACCGAUCGUGAUCACCUAAAAUAAAAUCCAAUUAUUUUCAACGCCUCGCGAACGGAACCUCGAACUUUUUCGAAUGUUCUGCCUACUGAUACUCGUGUAUCGCGUUAGAAUGUCGUUAAUUCGUGUCGGAAUAUUCCGAGAUUUCAUUGGUUCGUCGCUAGAAGAAAAUCGAAUAUCGAUUCGACUCUCGUACCUGACCGUCCGGUAAUUCGUAGCUCUUCUCUAGAGCGCUCGAGCCAGCAGCCGUGGCCAUUUCUUGCUGAAAAUCUAAGGCCACGUAACAUAAUUUUUCUUUAAUGUCUCGGACGAUUUCACGCUCCGCUGUCGUUGUGAAAGAAUACCCUCUUUCGGUUAAAAUCUUCAUCAGGUAAUCCGUUAAAUCGCGACCAGCCAAGUCCAUGCGUAAAAUCGCAUGCGGCAACGCGUACCCUAAAUUUGGUAAAAACAUUUCAGUGAUAUAUGUAUCUCUUUCCUUUGAAACGGUUCGAUGUCAUAUGUCAAUUGUGUUUCUCGAUUGCGAACGGCGUAUUUUUCAACUUGCCGCCUUGUGCGCUUACGACGAAAUCUUUUAAAACUGGGACGAAUCGAAAAAUCUUUUCGACGACGAUCACAGAGAAAUCUUCUCGCGUUCGUGCCGUUCGUAUCGCAUAAUAUGGGAAGAAAUUUUGAAAUAAAGUUGCAUCGUUGAAACGAAAGAGACGAAUGAAUGUUAAGAAAUGUGUUCGAUAAGACAGCGUACCCUCGUAAAUCGGCACUGUAUGCGAAACUCCAUCGCCGCUAUCUAACACAAUGCCGGUCGUGCGUCCUGAAGCGUAAAGCGACAAAACCGCUUGUAUAGCAACGUACAUGGCUGGAGAAUUAAACGUUUCGAACAUGAUUUGUGUCAUCUUUUCUCGAUUAGCUUUGGGAUUCAACGGGGCCUCCGUCAAAAGAACAGGAUGUUCUUCGGGAGCGAUUCUUAGUUCGUUGUAAAACGUGUGGUGCCAUAUUUUUUCCAUAUCAUCCCAAUUCGUUACAAUACCAUGUUCGAUCGGAUACUUUACUGUUAAAACGCCGCGUUUACUUUGAGCUUCGUCUCCCACAUAACUGUCCUUUUGUCCCAUACCAACCAUGAUACCCUGUGCAAUUUUUUUAUAUGUAACUAUGUACGUACACGUAUAUUAAUAGAAACAUUUAUAUAUAUAUAUACGAUUUAUGCGUAUACAUUGUGCACACAUUACAUUUAUAUCACAAAUUUUAAAGCAGAUUUUUGUUUACCUGGUAUCGUGGUCUUCCAACAAUGGAAGGAAACACUGCACGUGGAGCAUCGUCCCCUGCGAAUCCUGCUUUGCACAUUCC